GGCCAGGCUGAAGCGGUAAUGUCAAGGGUCAGUCAGAUGCAGCUAGCCAAGAGGAGAGGGAGAGCCAGACUGCACACGAGGGCCAGCACAGGC